GGUGAUAGUCUUUGUUAAUUAAUUAGUUAUCCUUAAUAAUUAGUUUUACAAUCUGAAAUUGCAAUUGUUUAAAUAAAAUCAAAUUGAUAUAAAGUUAGUAGUUGGAUUAAUAUUAAUUAAUAUUUCUCGUGGGAUCGAAACUCUCCUUACUACUAUAUUACUUGGGAUCGAAACUCUCCUUACUACUAUAUUACUUGUUGAUUACGUAUACUUGCGUAUGAAAUUGCCAAUACCAUGUUGGGCAAACACAAGCCAAACAGAACUAUGAACUCUAGUGAAUGUUUGUAUCACAACUUGAAACCCCAUGACAAAAAUUUGCCAUUUAAAUGGAACGAGAAAGUGUUUCCAAUGCUAACAAGAUUGACCCAAUUGUUAAAAGAUCUAGACUUUAUUGAUGGAAGGCCAGUUAACAUCAAUGACUAUUCAAUAGAUGUUGAUGAGUAUCUUGUACGCAACAUGCAUACUUUUAAGUCACUUGCCAGGGGCUUUAUUAUAUUGGGUAUUCAUCAAUUUAACUAGCACUACAGAAGGAUGUGUCUUCUUUCGUAGAUGACAAGUGUGCACCACCUGCCUUGUUCAAUAAACCGAGUGAAAGGCAACCCAUCACUGUGAAUUCACUCACCAUGGCGUGCAACUUCUUAAAUGUUUCGACGCAACAAAGGAAGUGUCUCUCUCAAUUUUCCCACAGGUCACACAACACUAGAUAUGGACUGGUGCGCUUGAGGAGACUGCAUGCAUUGAAAUCCAAGAUGGAUUUUAUAAAUCUUCGGGAUGUUGGAAAAGUUGAUAACAUGGGUCAACAAAUAGUCAUUACUUGUCUAAAGUUCUUAGACGAUUCCACUUCUAAUGAUUCCGAUUCAACUUCAUGGAUGCAACCUUCACCAAUUAAAUUCACGAGUUCACCUUCUUUCCAUAAGUGGGAAAAUGUACUUGAGAUGAUCUUAUUAACUGCUUGAGAAAUGAAAAGUAGUUAGUUUUACAUGUUACAAAGCUUGAGGUCAUGAAAGAAGGGCUCUCUCAAAUCAAGAAAGUUUUGAUAGAUAAAAAUAUUGGAUACAGGUAUCUCUAUGGCAGUGUGAGAGAUAUCGAAGUAGAUCCUUGUGGUGGAGUCUAUGGUAAUGAUGGUGGCAAAAAGUUUUGCUUGUAUACAGGGAAAAUUUUGACAUCCGUUGAGGAGAAAAUGGUUUGGAGUGGUGUCAAGCAGUUAGAUAGAGCUAUUGGGAUAUUCAAGCUUGUAUGGGAGACGGCAGAGAUGAAAGGAUCUUUGGUGGUGCAAGGUCAUUUAUGGUGUGUGGGGGCUGAUAGUCAGUCAGUUAUUUAAAGGAAACGUGUUCUUUGUGCAUGACAUCAGUUUCUGAUCUCUGUCUCACCCAAGGAAUUGGAAGGGUAUAAUGUGGUGAUGAUUUUCAUUGGUCCUCUCUUAUGUGAGUUAAAAAAUUCAGUCAUAUUGCUAAUUAUUGUACUUUAUCUGGGAUAUACUAAACACGAGCAUCAUCCCUUCAAUUAUGUUUCAAAAUUGUAAUCAGAGAAGAUUUUAAGUAGAAACUACGAAGAGAAGUAGAGUUAUGGAGUAAGAGCUCAACAAGCUCAUUGUCCAUUUACUAAUCUGUUUCCUGAGAAGGUUUGAUUGUUGUGUCCUCUACCUCAAAAUACCAUUUGUUGUCCCAAAUUGUAGUAUCAAGUAUGAAUUUCAAUGUUUUUAUAUUUAUAAUCGGAAUUCAAACACAAGUAUAAUUCUCUUUUGAUCUUGUAAAGUAAUUAAAAAAAUAUAUAGUAGACUGCCUAAUGCACAUCCCAAUAAAGAGAGAUCAAAUGAAGUUAAUACUCUUAUAAUAUAAAAUAGCAUAAUUAGUUAAUACCAUGAAUGCGGAAGCUUAGGCACAUAGGAUUCCAUACAUCUGAGGUAAAAGGUUGUUUAGAAAGGAACAAGAAUUAUGCAAUAAUGUGAUAAUGUUACAAUUUCUAGGUGGUAACCAGCAAAUUCAUCCACCGAUUUCUGAAGUAUCAAUUGAAAUUUACAAUAGUGUUGACUUUGCAUAAUGAAUUAAGGUAUUGUCAUAUGUGAAAUAAAGAUUUAGCAUGUGCAAUGCUUGCCAAAAAAUAGAGCUCAACAAAAAUCUUGCAUAAUAUCAUCCUAUUGAUAACAUGAAUUGAAGCUGAGCUUCCCAGUGUAUAUCUUAUGCAAACCCCUUAAAUGACAAAUUUAUUGCUUCCUAAACACGUGUAUCUUAUCAUUAAAUAUGGUUAAGAAUCCCAUUUUAAAAGUCUAAACCCAACUCCAUCUACAUCUCCCCGUAAGGCCUCCCUAUAGCAGAAUCUGCAAUAGGUGCGUGCAACCACGCUACUAAACUGUGCAAGUAGUGAUAAGUUAUCACUUACCACAGAGAUUCAAUAUACCAACAAAAAAAAUAUGUAUGAAAUACUGAUGCAGGAUGAGCGCAAAACAUGGUUGGGCAAAUACAGAAGUCUUUGGAGGUCCAUGCCAAAGCGUCCAACAAAUAUAACUUUCUAGUAAUUAAUUUUGAUUUAGUUUAUUUUGAUUUAUCAAUUAACAUAAAGAGAUGUAAUUGCAUCAGUAAAAAAGACAGACUGAAUAUAAGUUUCUAAACUUAUAAUUGAGUAGGUUACUUUCCAAUUCUUACCUAAUAUUUCCCAAUUCCCUUUCAAUUUAAAACACUAAAUCCAGACCUCACCAAUUACUGCCUCCAACAAAACUAAGCUCAGUUCAGUUAGUAACAAAUUCAAAUGUUACCAAAUAAUGAAUACAUCAAAGUUGUAACAAUAAAAAGUUUUCAGUAUUUUGUGUACACAUCAACCUUUACAGUGUUAACUUCGUAUAAAAAAAACGGUUAAGGUGAAAACUCUGAGGUAUAGAGAGAACAUAACAGAACUGAUAGCCCUGAAUGAUGUCAAAGCAAGAGAAAUAAAAGUAAGGACUCACCUUUACAGCAAUAUAAUUGACAGUUUUAAAUUUUUACACAUUUAAUAUCACUAUAAAUACAUUAGUUUACAUUCGAUAGUAGAAACUUCCUCAGACCAAAUAUCAAUUCACACCAUAUGUAAUACAAAACGAGAAAAUAUUGGCCCAUUAAUCGGAUCUAUGAAAACAAUUUUAAAAAAAAUUGCGCGAAGAAUAAAUCUAAUUGAAUACUAACUAAAUGCCAUAGAACAAAUGCAUUUAUUCAAAUGAAAUUCAAUACGGUUAACGGUACAAAAAUAUAGAAAUUAAAACUGAGAUGAAGAAAAUUUGAACACUCACCGACAUGGAAUCUAGCUUGAAGAGAAACAGUGACCAAUUGAAGAAAAAAAGUUGAAUCAAACCACCAGCGGCUCCAAUACACGAAACAGUCUGAAGAGUGAGAAAGUAUGAAUGCAUAUAUACGUGUGGAGAGAGGAAGAAGAGAAUUGGGGGAAAGAGUUGCACACUUACCAGAGAGAUCGAAAAUAGAAGAUGGAAGAGGAGGAAGAGUUUAGCUAACGUGUGUAGUGGUGUUGAAACGUGGACACGCUAUUUUCA
rnacentral:lncRNA from 1 species